rnacentral:rRNA from 1 species
UACGAAGGGGGGCUAGCGUUGCUCGGAAUCACUGGGCGUAAAGGGCGCGUAGGCGGCCAUUCAAGUCAGAGGUGAAAGCCCAAGGCUCAACCUUGGAACUGCCUUUGAUACUGUUUGGCUUGAGACCGGUAGAGGUAAGUGGAACUGCGAGUGUAGAGGUGAAAUUCGUAGAUAUUCGCAAGAACACCAGUGGCGAAGGCGGCUUACUGGACCGGUUCUGACGCUGAGGCGCGAAAGCGUGGGGAGCAAACAGG